CUUGGUCAUUUAGAGGAAGUAAAAGUCGUAACAAGGUUUCCGUAGGUGAACCUGCGGAAGGAUCAUUAGUGAAUUAAACAUGCUUGGUGUCUUCGCUUCGGCAAAGCCCUUGCUUAACUCACAUCCCAACACCUGUGAACUGUAAGGCGCAUGACUAGGUUCGCCCAAGUCAUCGUCUGCCCUUUUUAACAAACAAUUAAUGUAACAAACGUAGUCUUAUUAUAACCUAAUAAAACUUUCAACAACGGAUCUCUUGGCUCUCGCAUCGAUGAAGAACGCAGCCCCCCCGUGCCCCCGCCCCGCCCGCCGCGCGCGGCGGGA
rnacentral:rRNA from 1 species